CAGCUUUGCAACACGCACCAUCUAUUUGUGGGGGGGGGGGUUCAGAGAACCAGACGCGACUGAACGGGAAUCCACACAGGGUGGAGUAACCACAAGGUCUGAGAAUGCUAGAGGAAGGGGACAAAGGAAACAAACAGAAAAAUAAAUACUCCUAAGGGAGAAUAUCCCAGGUAUACAGGACUAAGUUAGAUUACCCGUGAAAGGGGUGUAAAGAACUAAGGCCAAGGAGUAUAUAAAACUACAUAGAAAAUUCCUAGGGGAGAUCCCAGUCGAACAGGUCUAACAGUAGGUAUGAACUAAGGAAAGGAGAAAAAACUAGACAGAACAGAGUAAUAUACUCCCCUGGGCGAUAAGCCCUGCUGUUCAAUACCAACAAAAAUCUACCCAGAGAAAAGGACAAAACUGAACAGAAAAAGGAGUAAUGAAGCUGUCUCAAACAGAACAGAGUGUAAAGGGUGAAAACUAAAGAUAACAGCCCUAGUACCGAGGACUCCCAAAAUGUAACGCAGAGUUAAAGAUUAUUGUGCAACCUUAGCAAAUAAUCCUUUAAAUCUCAGCAUUCAGUACAACAGAGAUCUCUUCACAAAGGGAAGAAGAGAGACUGUUACAGCACUGAAUAGUUACAAAACCACACUGACAGAAUUACCUUAGCGGGUAACAAGAGUUGACACAAAAGCACUGACUGCAGGCCAGCAAGAGCUUAAAUAGGAACUACAGCAGGUGAACCCAAUUAGCCCAAUCAGGGGAAAGAAGUGACAAGGAUACCCUCCAGUGGCCAAGGAUAGCCACUACCACCCAGAACCGUGACACUAUUGUUUAUAAGGGCUUUAGAGAUGAUCAUGUGAUUUGUGGAUUACAGACAGAAAGAACUUGACCUGAAGGCAGCCAAAGUAAAAGAAAAGGUGAUGUACAGGGACAAGCACAUUCGAUUCUACCCAGAUCUGUCUGCUGAAACCCAAAGAAAGCGAAGAAGCUAUGAUGGUGUAUGCCAGACGCUGUGUGAAAAAGGAAUCAGUAGGCACAGAAUUCUGUUCCCAGCUCGGCUACUUGUUACACAAAGGGACUGAUCCUACAUUGUCAACACACCUGCCGAGGUGUUUUAGUAAUACUGUGAAUCAAGCAUGGACAUUUCCGUCAGGUCACAGACCUAAUUGUCACCCUGCAAACAAAGUUUUUUGUUCUUCUGUUGGAUUUCUUGUUAAUGCUUUGUUAGACUGUGUUGGUUAAUGUAGUCUAAAAACCCUAAACAGGACAGUCACAUAAGUGACUGUAACAGGUUUUGCAGUCCUUCUCCCCACAAACCACACAAUCCAUCAUUCUGGGAUGCACAUGGCCUUUAUUGUGCGCUCAUUACAAAACACGAAUAUACAAACAAAAUGAAACACAUACAGUUAGGAAGGGGAUAACAUGGCACAUCGCCCCCGCGUGCGUCUCUCAUUCCAGCGCCCCAGUCUCACUGCAGGCAGAUCAUAUGAACAGUUACCAAUCACUGAAAAAUGCCAACAGGUGUGGUUACAGGCCAGCUAAACCGCUCCCUCUCCACCUGCAGGUGUCCUAACCACACCACCCCUCCACAGUGACUUUGAAAGAGGGUUCAUUAUUGGGGCACAGAUGGCUGGAGCUUCAGUCAAAAAGACUGCUCAACUGGCUAGUAUUUCAAUAGGAACAGUUAUUGAAGUGAUAUCUGAAUUUAGAUUUAUGGGAAAGACCAGUAAAUAGGAUCGGAAAUUGUGGUGAAAAUUGCACAUUCGAUGACUAUGAUGCGCAUGCAUUAGUUUGAUAUGUAAGGAAAAACAGAAGAGCAACUCUUCCUCAGGUGACUGAGAAUGUCAAUGCAGGACAUUAUCAGACUGUGACCUGCAUGAGCAGUCAAUCAAGAACAACAUAGAGAGGGAUAUUAUAGUAGGGUUGAAGUGCAUAAACCUCUCACUUUAUUAGGUAUACCUUGCUAGUACCGGGUUGGACCCCCUUUUGUCUUCAGAACUGCCUUAAUUCUUCAUGGUAUAGAUUCAACAAGGUGCUGGAAACAUUUCUCAGAGAUUUUGGUCCAUUUUGACAUGAUAGCAUCACGCAAUUGCUGCGGAUUUGUCGGCUGCACAUCCAUAAUGCAAAUCUCCCAUUCCAUCACAUCCCAAAGGUGCUCUAUUGGAUUGAGAUCUGGUGACUGUGGAGGCCAUUUGAGUACAGUGAACUCAUUGUCAUGUUUAAGAAACCAGUUUGAGAUGAUUUGAGCUUUGUGACAUGGCGCGUUAUCCUGCUGGAUGUAGCCAUUAGAAGAUGGGUACACUGUGGUCAUAAAGGGAUGGACAUGGUCAGCAACAAUACUCAGGUAGGCUGUGGCGGUUAAACAAUGCUCAAUUGGUACUAAGGGGCCCAAAGUGUGCCAAGAAAAUAUCCUCCACACCAUUACACCACCACCACCAGCCUGAACCGUUGAUACAAGGUAGGAUCCAUGCUUUCAUGUUGUUUACGCCAAAUUCUGACCCUACCAUCUGAAUGUUGCAGCAGAAAUUGAGACUUAUCAGCCCAGGCAACGUUUUUCCAAUCAAUUUUGGUGAGCCCAUGCCAGUUGUAGCCUCAGUUUCCUGUUCUUAGCUGACAGGAGUAGCACCCGGUGUGGUCUUCUGCUGCUCUAGCCCAUCUGCUUCAUGGUUCAACGUGUUGUGCGUUCAGAGAUGCUCUUCUGCAUACCUCGGUUGUAACGAGUGGUUAUUUGAGUUACUAUUGCCUUUCUAUCAGUUCGAAGCAGUCUGGCCAUUCUCCUCUGCCCAGAGAACUGCUACUCGCUGGAUAUUUUCUCUUUUUCUGACCAUUCUCUGUAAACCCUAGAGAUGGUUGUGCGUGAAAAUACCAGUAGAUCAGCAGUUUCUGAAAUACUCAAACCAGCCCGUCUGGCACCAACAACCAUGCCACGUUCAAAGUCACUUAAAUCACCCUUCUUGUGUUAACGAGCAGUUGAACAGGUGUACCUAAUAAAGUGGCCGGUGAGUGUAUAUUAAACAUUUACAAAUAUAUUGUAUUGCGCCACUGAAUUAGCUGUAACAAUUGUGGGGGUAGACUGGGGGAGGAAACAAAAGGUGUGGGGAAUUGCAUGGAGUGAAAGCCAGACGUGAAUGGCACUGAAGUCUAGAUUGUUGCUAGUGGUAUUUGAUAAAGGUUAGCUUUGUUAACCCCAACUAUGUGGCAGUCCCAUCAGAGAACCUGAAUGAGGGAUUGUAGCAGAACCAUAGAUAAUACAGGUAGUGUUCAAAUUAAGAUGGAACUGUGUAUCCAGACCAAAGAUUUCAGACAUUGACACAGCCAUGGGUAGUGAAGCACUGCCAGUUCUCUAGUCAGUGAUAAGACAGAAGCCUUCUACCUUUGAAUAUGAGUCAAUCACUGGAAACAUGACAAGAAAGGGGCUUUCUUAGCAUUGGCAACUAGUUUAAAGGGGGAAGCGCUGAAUAUCUUAGCCUUAUUCGCUCCACAGCAGCACUAAUAUCUGAGCACUGUCAGACAUUUGUGUUCCGAUUUCAAAUCAUACGGAGUGUUGUCAUUGCUAGGAUGCAGUUCUGAGUUAGGAAGGAAACUGCAGAAACACUGCCAGCUUUUGAGCAUUUGUUUGGGAAAUGCAUACCCUGGAUUUGGUUAAGGCACUCAUUAUAGUGCAUGGAUAACUGCAUUCUCCACAUCCCAACCUUGCACCGCAGGCACACAAGAGUCACAUCUCCUGUCUCAUCUGCCUCCCAGUGGUGGAAUUACAUUACAUUACAUUACAGGCAUUUGGCAGACGCUCUUAUCCAGAGCGAUGUACAACAAAGUGUAUAACCAUAAUCAGGAACAAGUGUGUUGAAAACCCUAGAGAGAAGUACCGUUCCAAGUGCUGGGAACAACCGCAUAGUUCAACUUGGACCCUGUAGGUAAAACUGAUUAACACUAACACAAACGAGAACAGCAACAACGCAGUCUAUGCAAAAAUACAAGCAGUAGUUAAGACAAGUGCAUUAACUAAGUCACCUACGAAAUAGCUACCUAGUUACAACCCUAAGCUUACAGUCAAUUUAUGGACUGCAUUUAUAUAGCGCUUUUAUCCAAAGCGCUUUACAAUUGAUGCCUCUCAUUCGCCAGAGCAGUUAGGGGUUAGGGGUCUUGCUCAAGGACACUUCGACACGCCCAGGGCGGGGUUUGAAUCGGCAACCCUCCGACUGCCCGACAAUCGCUCUUACCUCCUGAGCUAUGUUGCCUGUAAUUUAGAGAUUACAGGGAGGUAGGGAGGGAUGGGGAGAGGUGCAGCCUGAAGAGGUGAGUCUUCAGUUGUCACUUGAAGUGGGUCAGUGUCUCAGCUAUUCUGACCUCCACGGGGAGGUCAUUCCACUAUUGUGGGGCCAGGACAGACAGGAGACGUGUUCGGGAAGCGCAGGUGCAAAGAGGGAGAGGUGCCAGGCGUCCUGAGGUAGCGGAACGGAGGGGUCUGGCUGGCAUGUAGGGUUUGAAGAUCUUAUGAGGAAUGAGGACAGAAGAAACCCUACCCUGUGAUGUUCUGUGUAAGGACCCACAUGCAGACCAGGGAAAUCCAAAAAACGUUGUCUUUAAUCAGUCCGAGGUUCGAAGCCAGGUAAUCAGAGAGAGGACGGUGCCGAAUCGAGUUUCCAAAAGAAUAGUGAAAAGACAGGCAAAAAAUCAAAAACCAGGA